rnacentral:rRNA from 1 species
AGCUUGCUCCUCGAUUCAGCGGCGGACGGGUGAGUAAUGCCUAGGAAUCUGCCUAGUAGUGGGGGACAACGUUUCGAAAGGAACGCUAAUACCGCAUACGUCCUACGGGAGAAAGUGGGGGAUCUUCGGACCUCACGCUAUUAGAUGAGCCUAGGUCGGAUUAGCUAGUUGGUAGGGUAAAGGCCUACCAAGGCGACGAUCCGUAACUGGUCUGAGAGGAUGAUCAGUCACACUGGAACUGAGACACGGUCCAGACUCCUACGGGAGGCAGCAGUGGGGAAUAUUGGACAAUGGGCGAAAGCCUGAUCCAGCCAUGCCGCGUGUGUGAAGAAGGCCUUCGGGUCGUAAAGCACUUUAAGUUGGGAGGAAGGGCUUACAGCGAAUACCUGUGAGUUUUGACGUUACCGACAGAAUAAGCACCGGCUAACUUCGUGCCAGCAGCCGCGGUAAUACGAAGGGUGCAAGCGUUAAUCGGAAUUACUGGGCGUAAAGCGCGCGUAGGUGGCUUGAUAAGUUGGAUGUGAAAU